AUACGGAGGGUGCAAGCGUUACUCGGAAGCACUGGGCGUAAAGUGCGCGCAGGCGGUCUUUUAAGUUGGAUGUGAAAGCCUACGGCUCAACCGUAGAACUGCAUCCAAAACUAUUAGACUAGAGUGUGGGAGAGGAAGAUGGAAUUAGUUGUGUAGGGGUAAAAUCCGUAGAGAUAACUAGGAAUACCAAAAGCGAAGGCAAUCUUCUGGAACACUACUGACGCUGAGGCGCGAAAGCGUGGGGAGCAAACAGGAUUAGAAACCCCAGUAGUCC
rnacentral:rRNA from 1 species